AUCACAUCUCAGCCUUGUGGCUAAGAUCAAGUGUAGUAUCUGUUUUUGUCAGUUUAAUAAAAGUGUCCUCUGCUAAAAUAUCUUAUCCAUA
rnacentral:snRNA from 1 species